rnacentral:misc_RNA from 1 species
CAGACGUCAUGCCCUUCACGGGUAGAUCCUCCCACCCUUGUGUAUUAUACCUGUUGUGUUGCUUUGGCAGGCCCGUGGCCGCGGCCACCACCGGCUCUCGGGCUGGUGCAGUGCCCUGCCAGAGGACCCCUAAACUCUGUUUGUUCAGUAGUGUCUGAGUACUGAUAUACAAUAGUUA